GACGAACGCUGGCGGCGUGCCUAAUACAUGCAAGUAGAACGCUGAAGCGAGGAGCUUGCUCUUCUUGGAUGAGUUGCGAACGGGUGAGUAACGCGUAGGUAACCUGCCUUGUAGCGGGGGAUAACUAUUGGAAACGAUAGCUAAUACCGCAUAACAAUGGAUGACACAUGUCAUUUAUUUGAAAGGGGCAAUUGCUCCACUACAAGAUGGACCUGCGUUGUAUUAGCUAGUAGGUGAGGUAAUGGCUCACCUAGGCGACGAUACAUAGCCGACCUGAGAGGGUGAUCGGCCACACUGGGACUGAGACACGGCCCAGACUCCUACGGGAGGCAGCAGGAGGGAAUCUUCGGAAAUGGGGGCAACCCUGACCGAGCAACGCCGCGUGAGUGAAGAAGGUUUUCGGAUCGUAAAGCUCUGUUGUAAGUCAAGAACGGGUGUGAGAGUGGAAAGUUCACACUGUGACGGUAGCUUACCAGAAAGGGACGGCUAACUACGUG
rnacentral:rRNA from 1 species